rnacentral:rRNA from 1 species
GACGAACGCUGGCGGCGUGCUUAACACAUGCAAGUCGAACGGGAAGGCCCUGCUUUUGUGGGGUGCUCGAGUGGCGAACGGGUGAGUAACUCGUGCGUAUCCUGCCCCUGACUUUGGGAUAACUUCAGGAAACUGGGGCUAAUACCGGAUAGGAGCUCCUGCUGCCUGGUGGGGGUUGGACCGUUUCCGCGGUUGGGGAUGGACUCGCGGCUUAUCCGCUUGUUGGUGGGGGAGUGGCUUACCAAGGCUUUGACGGGUAGCCGGCCUGCGAGGGUGACCGGCCACAUUGGGACUGAGAUACGGCCCAGACUCCUACGGGAGGCAGGAGGGGGGAAUAUUGCACAAUGGGCGGAAGCCUGAUGCAGCAACCCCGGGUGCGGGAGGACGGCCGUCGGUUUGUAAACCGCUUUCGCCUGUGACGAAGGGUGAGUGACGGUAAUGUGUAAAGAAGCACCGGCUAACUCCGUG